rnacentral:rRNA from 1 species
GAGUUUGAUCAUGGCUCAGAGUGAACGCUGGCGGCAGGCCUAACACAUGCAAGUCGAACGGCAGCACAGCAGUAGCAAUACUGUGGGUGGCGAGUGGCGGACGGGUGAGGAAUGCAUCGGAAUCUGCCUAUUUGUGGGGGAUAACGUAGGGAAACUUACGCUAAUACCGCAUACGUCCUACGGGAGAAAGUGGGGGACCGCAAGGCCUCACGCAGAUAGAUGAGCCGAUGCCGGAUUAGCUAGUUGGCGGGGUAAAGGCCCACCAAGGCGACGAUCCGUAGCUGGUCUGAGAGGAUGAUCAGCCACACUGGAACUGAGACACGGUCCAGACUCCUACGGGAGGCAGCAGUGGGGAAUAUUGGACAAUGGGCGCAAGCCUGAUCCAGCCAUGCC